rnacentral:rRNA from 5 species
GAUUGACCUCGGAUCAGGUAGGGAUACCCGCUGAACUUAAGCAUAUCAAUAAG